AGUUACCGAGAGGAGGGACUACUGCACUCGGAGGCCGGACAGCAGAACUGACUGGCUGAGAGAAAUGCUUCCUGAAGAGAAGAGGGAAAAUCAAAAGAAAUGCCAAGAGGCUGUUCUUCCAAGUAAACUGCCCAGCCUGACUUUAUGGAUGGGCAAAUUGAGGCCUGGAGAGGAAAAGGGUCUUACUAAAGUUCAUGCAGCAGGUCAGAGUAGACUCCAGGUGCCCUGGCUCCCUGCCUGCCUAUUACAGCAACAUCUCUGUCCUCCACAUGGGCGGGACUGGAGAAAGGAGAGAGUUUUUUGGCUUUGAAGGAUGUAGGGCUCCUGAGAAUACCACAGGUCCAGCUCAAAGUGCUCCUGUCCUUUCACGGUCCCAGAGCCCAGGCCCCUGGCUGUUCUGAGCAGAAGGCGGCCCUGGGAGGGGCCAGGGGGCCAGUGAUCUAGAAGAAAUAGAAGCUGACAGGCAACAGGCCAGCCUUCCUGCCUCCCUGCUGGGGCAGCUGGUUCCUCUCAAGAAAGCCAAAGCUACUGAGAGAGAGAGGCCCUCCGGAACACCACAAGGUUGGCAUCUGUGGGUCCUUAGUGACCUUCUCUCCCUCUGCCCACCCCUCAAAGCCCUGGUCCUCAAGGCUCUGGCCUUAGCAUCUGCCUUUUUUUUUUUUUUAACUCUCCUUGAGGAACUCUCCUAGCUCCUGCAGCAGCUUCACCUUGUGCCCAUUUGUAGUUAUUGCCCUAAGAGCUGAACCCUCUUGACCUGGCAGGAGCCGAGAGACAUUAAGUGUAGUGCUGGGCCGGGUGCAGUGGCUCACGCCUGUAAUCCCAGCACUUUGGGAGGCUGGGAGCAGUGGGGUGGGUGGGGGACGGUGGAUCACCUGAGCUCAGGAGUUUGAUACCAGCCUGGGCAACAUGGCAAAACCCUGUCUUUACUAAAAAUACAAAAAUUAGCCAGGCAUGGUGGUGCACACCUGUAGUCCCAGCUACUUGGGAGGCUGAGGUGGGAGGAUCGCUUAAGCCCCAGAGGCGGAGGUUGCAGUGAGCUGAGAUCAUGCCGCUGCACUCCAGCCUGGGUGACAGAGCAAGACCCUGUACAAAAGAAAAAGAAAGAAAGAAAGUGUAGUGGUAGCUUUAAGGGAUGAUGCUGUGUGACUUUGGGUAAGGCCCUUUCCCUCUCUGGUGAGACAAAGAACCUACACUUUGGUGCCUGGUAAAGCUGGGUACAAGUCCUUGCCCUAUCACUUUUUAGCUGGGUAAGCCCUCUGAAGCUCAGUUUGCUCAUCUAUGGAAGAGGAGUGGAAAUUCCUACCUCACAGUUCUUGUAGGGAUUUGGUAGGUAGACAAAGUGUGCACAUGGUAAAUAGUCUCAGCCUGAACCUGAGAGAGUCUGUCCCUUCUCCCAGAGAGGCAGAGGAGACCCAUGGGAAGCCUGUUUGUUUCAGGGAUAGUGAGGAAGAUUUCUAAGAAAAUAUCCCUGAACCUGGGACCACUUUUGGAAUUCAGUUACAGCUGAGCAUGCUGAACAGACUCAGAUGAUGACCCACCAGAGGCUGAAGGGAGGAAGGAAUGAAGGGUGAGGAGCCUGACCCAGCCACGGGACACUGGCAGGGCCUUCAUGCAUUUAUUCGACAGAUACUGUGGCCCAGGCACUGUCCCCGGUGCUGGAUACAGCAGUGACUACAGGUAGACAAUGUCCUGCUCUCAUGGAGCUUAUAUCCAAGUGAGAAGAGACAGACAUUCACCAACUAAUGCAAUUCAACUGAGCAAAAAGUAGAGAUGGCAGGAGGAGAGCAUUCCAGGCAGAGGAAACAACCUGGACAAAGGACCUGAGGUGGUAUUUCCAGCAAGCACGAAGAGACUGACGUGGCGGGGUGGGAAGAGCACAGGGGAGAAAGGUGAGACUGGAGAUGGAGGUGGGGGCCCAGCAUGCAGAGCCUUGGAGGCCUCUGUCGGGGUUUCCGUAUCUAUAGGAAGAGCAAUUUGGAAGCCUGUGGUUUGGGACAGGCAUGUGGGGUGGGGAGUAUCUUUGAAGCCCCUAAAGUUGUAUGAAAAGCAUUAAUUUCUGGGGAGAACAUCUCUAGCUUUGAUCAGAUCCUCGGAUGGGUCUGUGAUCCCAAAGGGUAGGGAAGCUUCUUAUAUGAUUCCAUUCACUAAGUGCCCAUGAUGAGCUGGUGGCAGGCAUCCUAGAACCUUCUGUGAGCUAGCCCCUACCCCAUACCUCCAGCUAGUCUCAGCCUUCCCCCCACCUUCAACCUGCACCCCACCCAGACAGAAGCACCUGCAACUCUCUCAGCUACACUCUGCUGCUCCAAGCCUUAUUAAAGAGAAUGUGUGUCAAAUGCUCUGUAAUAGUACCUCUGUUGUCCCGCUGUGCCCCCACUGUCAUCUCCCCACCUGGCUGGCUCCCCCUUGUUCUUCAAAAGUCAGCUAGAUGUUGUGCCCUCUGGGAACCUGCCUUGACCCCACCCAAGCAGGUUGGGUCACCUCCCUUGUGUCCUUCCGCCCUGCUCUUUUCUCAGCCGGCUUCUCUCAACACUGUGUUCAGAUGCCUGCUGCCCCUUCUCUGUCGGGAGCUCUGUGAGAGCUGUGUCUUGUUCAUCCCAGUGUCCCCAGCACUCAGCACCGGGCACCUGGUCACACAUGGUGGGGGG
rnacentral:lncRNA from 1 species